CCGACAGGAAGCGCUAUUGAAUUGCGACUCGAUCCGGGCGACUUUCCAUGCUGAUCCAUAGAGACCGUUUUCAUAUAUUUCUACACACAUCUCCAAGCUACAUUUGAGGAGAACAUACAGAUGGCCAUAUUAUUUUGUUCAACUAUGAUACAAGAUAGGGAGAUGAUGUGGGUUGCCAUUUUGGAACCAGAGCCUAAGCAAGAGCAUUGCAAGGCGAUAUGGGAGCUCAGAAAGUCGCCAUAAAACUACCGUUUAAGACCAGCGUGGCGGUGGCGCGGAGGACCAAGCGGGAAGUGAACCAUCAGCCUUUGAGUUACCUGUCACCCUUGGCAUCGAGAAGAUGACACCCAAGCCGUCUUACACCACAGGU